CUACGGGUGGCUGCAGUGGGGAAUAUUGGACAAUGGGGGAAACCCUGAUCCAGCAAUGCCGCGUGUGUGAAGAAGGCCUGCGGGUUGUAAAGCACUUUCGGUUGGGAGGACUGCUUCUAGCACUAAUAUUGUUGGAAGUUGACGUUACCUUCAGAAGAAGCACCGGCUAACUCCGUGCCAGCAGCCGCGGUAAUACGGAGGGUGCAAGCGUUAAUCGGAAUUACUGGGCGUAAAGCGCGCGUAGGCGGCUAGAUCAGUUGGGUGUGAAAGCCCCGGGCUUAACCUGGGAACUGCAUCCGAUACUGUCUAGCUUGAGUACAGGAGAGGAGAGUGGAAUUCCACAUGUAGCGGUGAAAUGCGUAGAUAUGUGGAGGAACACCAAUGGCGAAGGCAGCUCUCUGGCCUGAUACUGACGCUGAUGUGCGAAAGCGUGGGGAGCAAACAGGAUUAGAUACCCGCGUAGUC
rnacentral:rRNA from 1 species